CCUACGGGCGGCAGCAGUGGGGAAUAUUGGGCAAUGGGCGCAAGCCUGACCCAGCAACGCCGCGUGAAGGAAGACGGCCCUCGGGUUGUAAACCCCUUUUAAGAGGGAAGAGCAGAAGACGGUACCUCUUGAAUAAGCCACGGCUAACUACGUGCCAGCAGCCGCGGUAAUACGGAGGUGGCAAGCGUUGUCCGGAUUUACCGGGUGUAAAGGGCGUGCAGCCGGGAAGACAAGUCAGAUGUGAAAUCCCGGGGCUCAACCGCGGAUCUGCAUUUGAAACUGUUGUUCUUGAGUACCGGAGAGGUCAUCGGAAUUCGUUGUGUAGCGGUGAAAUGCGUAGAUAUAAGGAAGAACACCAGUGGCGAAGGCGGGUGACUGGACGGCAACUGACGGUGAGGCGCGAAAGCGUGGGGAGCGAACAGGAUUAGAUACCCCUGUAGUC
rnacentral:rRNA from 1 species